UCCCUAAAACCCUUCAGCCGCCCCCCUUUCUUUAUUUUCCCCCUCUCUCCCUCACGUUCCCUUCCUCCCUCUUUUCCCUCAUUCUCGCCUCAUCUCCCUCGUCCCACUCACCCACAACCGACACACGCUCCUCUCUUUCCAUUUUUUCAUCAUCACCGCCGCACCCCGCUCCUCCACCCACCUCAAAAUUCCCUAUAAAAAGGGGGACGACUCCACCUUCUGGGGGAGGAUUUUUCUGGAACGAAAAAGACCCCAUCCUUUUUUAGCAAGAAACAAGAUCAAACAGAUCAGAAACAGACCGAAAAAAAAUCCCAAGAUCUGAAAUCCAAAAAUCUCCCCACAAAACAAAAGCUUAUACUUUGGACAACAAGGACUCAGCAUAUUUUUUAGAAAAAAGAAAAAGAUCCGAAAAAAUCCUAUGGUUUCUUGACAUCGAUUAGAAAUCCUAAACUUUCAUUUGAUUGCUCUGUAUUAUUACGAAGUAGAGUGUAUAAAACUCAAGAAUUGAACACUGAUCGGACACGGAUUGGUGAUACAUGAGUAUUUUCUAAAAAUCUUGGGUUUUCUUUCAUUUUCAAAAUUGGGUCUUGAACUUUUGUUUCAAAUCAGAAAAUACUCUGUUAUGGAAUUUGUGUUGAAAAAUUAAGUUUUCCACAAUUCGACCAACUGUCGUCGCAGUUUGGCAAAAGGACUUUAACUACCAAAAUUUUCGAUCGAGUUUCGGGCCUAUUCAUAACGAUAGAGUAGAUUCGACGCCAUCGACGCCUCAGUUCAUUGCACAAAAAAAAGAUUUUGGCGAACUUGAAACUUGAUUUUGGAGACGUGUAUGAAGCGGAAAAGGUCAGCAGACAGGUGGACUUGAUCCUUAGGAGCUCUACCAGCGGUACUCUACAGUGCUCCAGUUGUUCCGGAGCCUCACUUCCGCGGUACUAUUUUGUGUAUGUAUAUUCGGGCACGGCAGUACCCGGCCCUUUCUAUGUAUAAGUGUACUAUGUCUAGAGGCUCGUAGACAGAUAUGCCCAGUCAGUCAAGUACAGUUAGAUAUAUGGUGUGUUGGCAUUUUAAUGUUGUUGUAUAAAGUGAUAACGAAGUUUACUAUUCUAUGUUCAUAAUGACGCUGCUAAUGUUAAUGUUCAAACAAAAAAAUAUAUGGCACUGUUCAUACGGCUUGCUAAGAGGUAAAGGCAAAAUGAUAGAUAAGGGGUGCUCGGUACAAGUAUCGGGUACUCGUCACGGCCCCUAAUCGGGUCGUGACAGAAGUGGUAUCAGAGCAGUUCGGUCCUAGGGUUUGUCUACGAGCCGUGUCCAGUAGAGUCUUGUUUAUGGGUGUGUAGCGCGCCACAUUUAUAAACAGGAGGCUACGGGGCAUAUAGGGAUUGUUGACCUUCUUGGUAUCUUAGAUCGUGCGAUAGAGCUGAGUUAUAGGAAAAUGAAAUUCCUUAUAUGAGCUUUACAUACGACGGGAGAAGGUAAGGGAUGACAUGGAAAGUCAUAAAGGUAAGUUUUGAAGUAUUUGUUUUGUUAUCAAAAAAUUGAAAGUUCAGAAUGGCUGGAAUGUGUUAUAUAGCUGUAUGCUUUGUAAGGUUUUGUUGAUAUUGUUGAUAUUUGUCGCGUACUGAUUCUGAAUAGUAAGGAUGAUAAAGGAAAAUAGGGUAAAAGAUAAGGAAUGGGCAUGAGGAAAAAGGACGACUAAAAAAAAAAGGGACCCUCCCGAAGUAUUAUGACACCCCAUAAGAUCAGUUGAACAUUCGAGGACGAAUGUUUUAAAGGGGGGAGGAUGUUAUAUCCCGUAUUUUUUUUACGUCGGAUUAUUUGUAAGCUGAGGUGGGGCCCACACAUCGAGAUUUUUUUUGGACAUCUGAAAAGUCAUAUGAAUCACAUAUGUGAAGUUAAACACAACUCAAGAAGGACCCUUGGGCCAAAUCAAAGUGGAAGUCCUCCAAACGAAUAUUUUUAAGAAAACGUUUUCGGGUGACCUGACUUCUAGGGGCAAAAAACGGUAUUAUAAGUUUGGAAUUUGAAAAAAUACCAAGGAAAUAGAAGUUGUAGAUAAUUGAAUUAGCUUUCCAACCAUAGGUUGUGGAUUCCCAGGUGACAUCGGUACAAGGAGAUAUGGACGUUUUAAGGUCGAAAGGUCAGUGGGCUAGGCCCAACUCGGGAUCAACCGAGUUGGCCCAAAAAAAUGAAGAAAACAAAUUAGGCCCAAAAGAGGGGUGGCCGGCCAUACAAUGGCCCAAGCCCAUGGAUUCUAAUUAAUUUCCAUGUGAUAAUUAAAUAAAAGGGGUCAUUUAGUUGUCUUGAAACAUAUAGAAGUUUCAAGAACAUUAGAAGAGGAGAAAAACAAAACAAAUGAAGAGCAAAGGAGACAUGGCAUACGGCCAUGCUCUCCAAUUUUUGUCCCUUUGAAAUCUUCUCCCAAAAAUUAUUUUCUUGUGGUAUUCUUACUAAUUCAAGGGUCCUUUACAACUUGGUGUAAUUAUUUUGGAAGAAAGAACACUUGUUUCUUCAAGUUGACAACUUGGUCAAGUGAAGAAGAUUGUAGAAAAAGGUAAGAAUUAAUCCUUUUUUAUUAUGUUAUGAAGGUUGGUUUAUGUUGUAGUAUGUAGAAAUGAGUAGAAUUUAUGGAAAUAUGGAAGUUUACAAAGUGGGUUUGCAUGUGUGCAUGUGUAUGUAAGGUUGUAUAAAUAAGAUGAGUUGAAUUGUAUGUUGUAUUCUAGUUGUAGUUGUGGUGGACCUUAUAUUGGAAAUGGAAGAAAAUGGUUCAAGUUGGCAUGGAAAAUUAUUGGAAAUAGUUAUAGGAAAUUAUGUGAUUUUAAUGAAGUUUUUAUGUAAUUAUGAAAAUGAAAUUAUUAAGGUGCAAAUUAUGAUUAUGGUUGAUGAAAUUGGAAGAUGGAAAUAUGUUAGGAAUAUGUAGAUUGAAGAUUAGAAGUUUUGGAUGGAUUAUGGUUUUGGUGGAAAGUUUGUAUAUUUUGUAUAUCUUGUGAAUAUUUGGUAGAAAUGAUAUGAAAUGCUUCCGAAUUAUAUUGUAAUGAUCUUGAUUAGUAAUGAAUGUAAAAACAUUGAGAUUGGUUUUGGAAAUGUGAAGUUGGAAUGAAAGCUAUUGCAUUAUGUUGGAAAGAAGACUAGUUGUGUUAUAUUGUGUUUUGUAGUCAUGGUUGUUGUCAUUGUGUUGAUAGUUUGGCCGGGUUGAAUUCCCGGAUUGUUGUUGAUAAAAAAUUGGCUAAGUUGAAUUUUGGGGAUGGUGUAUUUAUAGGGGAGAUGCUGCCCAAAUUUUUGUAGACAAGUAUUGGUUAAGAUUGAAAUCUUAAAGCCUUACAAUUAACAUUUGGUAAUUGUGACCAAAUUGUAGAUUUUGGCGAACUUGAAACUUGAUUUUGGAGACGUGUAUGAAGCGGAAAAGGUCAGCAGACAGGUGGACUUGAUCCUUAGGAGCUCUACCAGCGGUACUCUACAGUGCUCCAGUUGUUCCGGAGCCUCACUUCCGCGGUACUAUUUUGUGUAUGUAUAUUCGGGCACGGCAGUACCCGGCCCUUUCUAUGUAUAAGUGUACUACGUCUAGAGGCUCGUAGACAGAUAUGCCCAGUCAGUCAAGUACAGUUAGAUAUAUGGUGUGUUGGCAUUUUAAUGUUGUUGUAUAAAGUGAUAACGAAGUUUACUAGUCUAUGUUCAUAAUGACGCUGCUAAUGUUAAUGUUCAAACAAAAAAAUAUAUGGCACUGUUCAUACGGCUUGCUAAGAGGUAAAGGCAAAAUGAUAGAUAAGGGGUGCUCGGUAUAAGUAUCGGGUACUCGUCACGGCCCCUAAUCGGGUCGUGACACAAUAUAUGCAAGUUCGGAGCCCCUGGAAGUUGCUAAAUGCUAACAACAUCUGCCUAGUUCCGUCUAAUUUAGUCGUUCGCUAUAUGUCUAAGUAGUUGGUUAGCCUGUUAGUUUUUCAUAAAAUCAUUAGUGAAGCAUUGGUGUGUUUGCAGAUUUGUUUAUUUUGAGUAUAGUUUAAUUAUGUGUUUGUAGAUAUUGUCCAACUUUUGGUGUCUUAGUAGUUUUAGAUCAAACAGCCUUCCUUGGUCCCCUCAUAUCAUGGUAGUUGCUUGUUUCUUGAACUAGCUUGCAUCAAGUCGAGUUCUGAAGUUGUAUUAAAUAUCAGAAAGAUUAAUUCAAUCCUGGCUGUUGUGUCCGAGUAUGAUUUUUAUGUCUGCAGUGUAUGACCAUUUUAGUUAAGGCUUAUGACAAACUUGCUUGCAUUAUAUACCUACUAGCAUUACUUGUAUGUCGAAUUUUGAGAAUUUGAACCUAUCAUUCCAUGCCUCAUCUCCAUCAGUGUUAAAUAUGUAUACAUCAUGUUCUAUUAAAACAAGUUUUCUUGGUUUCUAAAUUUACAAAUGAUCUUGUAAAAAUGCUAUAUGCUACAUGUGUCUUACAUAGAAUGAAGUUAAAAAUCCUUGUAUGGUUUUCAGUCCUUCUUUCUUUUACAAUAAGUGCUGCCAGUUAAAGAAUGGGCAAGCAUGUUUCAGUUUUCCUCGAAUCUGUAGUUAUUAAAUAUUGGUUUAGAAAGAAUGAGAUUUGCAAAUGAUUUAUGCUCAGUGUGAUAUCCUGUAAUUCCCCUCUUCAUCUCUGUUUGUCUAUGCUUAACAAAUUAGUCCUGAAAUCCUUUAAAUUGCUUCACACUUGGAUGUUGGUUUGUUAGCAGUUAGCUUUGAUUCAACCCUUGCAUUGUUUUAAAACAUCUUACUCUACAUACACUCUAUGUGUAUCACAUUGUAUGUCAUUAUUCAUAUCAUGUCCUCAUCCACCAAAUUUCCAUUUCCUGUUAACAAUAUAGCUACAUCUUAUGCUCGUGGUAUGAUUAUUUGGUCUAUUUGAGGGCAUGCUAUCUCUCUGGUAACCUCAUCAGCAACUAUGUCUAUCUGAAACACUCCCAUUUUUACAUGUCAUUUGGUUUGUUUCUGUGCCCCUGCGGCCUAUGCCCAUGUCUGCGUCUGGAAUUGCCUCUGAAUUCAUCUGUUUGUUUUAUACAAGUAACUGCUGCAUAACUUGCCUUGUUUAUUCCCUUUCUGUUGAAUAUGCUAGUCGACCACGAUACAUCCCCACUGUCAUACUCAGUUUGUUACUUGGGCUAUGUUUUAUCUAGAAUUGAUUGUUCUCUCUUUGCUGUUACCUGUCUAAAUUGUUUGACUCUUCCAUCUAUCAUUUGUAUGCUAACGCAGGUUUGCCUCCCUGUAUUGGUAUUAGGACUGCUUCGGUUAUUGUAUAUGGUAUAGUUGUCCACUUUACAGUUGGUAAAAGCAUCUUGACUUACUAUGAUGCCAUUGAUAAAAUACAUAUGACCAGUGUCCUAUACUCUCUUAAAUAUCCUUGUUAGUUUCACUUAAUUUAAGUCAAACUUUUAUACCUCUUUACGAACGUGUAUACAUGAGAUAUACUUGGAUAUACACAUUAUAUACAUGGCCUACUGAUUCGUUAUUUUUGAAUUUAUAUUUUUUACCUGUUUAAUCUUAUCUGUUAAUCAUACUAAUCCUUUUCUUCUCAUUUUUUAUGCAUGAACAUCGUAUAUGAGUCCCUCGGACUCGUCAUUCCUCCGCAUUUGGUGUUGGGCUAAAGGCCCAACUUGUCCUUCCUGCUCGGCCUCUGUCCACAGCACAAAAAUAGAAGACAAAAAUUUGGGCUAAAGCCCAAUAGACAGAAUCAGAACUCGGUAGCAGCAUAUACAAAUUGUUAUUGGGCCGAAGCCCAGUUGCAAACAGAUUGCAGCAGUCCAAAUGGGGCUGAACCCAUUCUCAUUAUAUUUGCUCCUCUAUUUCUAUUUUGUGUGCCCUUUAACAUGUAUUGUAUGACUAACAUUUGUGCUUUGUUAAUUAAGAUUAGUAACAUUAAGGGUUUAGUUUAGUAAUGGGUAGUUGAUUUUACAAAUUACAUUCACUUCUAUUUUUAACUAUUUAUAGCAUCUAUAACAUUUAUUUGGGUAAUUGAUUUUCAACA